AUCAAGGCUGAGGCGUGAUGACGAGGCACUACGGUGCUGAAGCAACAAAUGCCCUGCUUCCAGGAAAAGCCUCUAAGCAUCAGGUAACAUCAAAUCGUACCCCAAACCGACACAGGUGGUCAGGUAGAGAAUACCAAGGCGCUUGAGAGAACUCGGGUGAAGGAACUAGGCAAAAUGGUGCCGUAACUUCGGGAGAAGGCACGCUGAUAUGUAGGUGAAGCGACUUGCUCGUGGAGCUGAAAUCAGUCGAAGAUACCAGCUGGCUGCAACUGUUUAUUAAAAACACAGCACUGUGCAAACACGAAAGUGGACGUAUACGGUGUGACGCCUGCCCGGUGCCGGAA
rnacentral:rRNA from 1 species